GCCAGGAAGCAUGGAAAGAACUUUCAUCUCAGUCCUGAAGGGUCCCCCUGGAAAUCAAAUCGAGCUUGACCUCUGAGUAAGAGAUGUGACCAGCACAAGAGAACAAGGCCAAGUUGACAACACAGAAGGAGGUGAUCCCAGCAUGAAGAAGUUAGGGUAUCCUCUUAUUCUUCCCCGAGAAGAAUUCCAUCCCCUGCCCUGGGAAAGGAAACCAGAACAGCUGAUGCCCUGUUUUUCCUUGCCAUACUGUCGGGAGAAGAGCAAAGCAAUGAGCUCAAAUACUAGAAGACAACAGCAUCACAUGCUACUCUUCCAUAUGGACUUAAAGAGAAAAUAAGAAAGGAUAGAAUCUCCUUCCUUGUUAGCCGGACCUUCUGUAGUCAAGCAGGUCCUUUGGGAGAAAACUAGGCUGAAAAACACAGUGACAUCUGAUGGUUUGUUGACCUGAUUCACCCGUCCCAUUUGGAUAACGCCUGUGGUGGCUGACAGCUGAAAAAAGUCUCCACAAAGAAUCUUGUCCUGAAGUCUCAACUGAGCACUUUCUGGAAACAGCUUGACGUUUCUAAUGUGAAAAAAAUAAUAACUCUGUCGCCUGGUGCUUGGAAAUGUAUAGGCCGGAAGUGAGGAGCAGAAGACGACGAGUAUCUUCACAGUCCCGACAGAGUGGACUUCCGGGGACUUCAGACCACUCACAGAGUGUGGGUGCCAACACUUCAGCAAAUUAAGCCAUCGCAGCAAAGGGAAGGCAAGCUCUGAAUCAUGGAUGAAGGUCUAUUUGGAUCUCCUUGCCCUCUGAGGCAGCCCAUUUCCCAGCAGGGGGAAUGGCACAGUGCAUGAUCAUUCCCCGCCCCGCCCCCCUCCUCCUCCACCUCCUCCAUGUCAUCAUUGUCAGCGCUGAUCUCAGAAUAAUCUCCCAGGAGCCAACAUGUACUUGUAGCCCUUGUCCCCAGGGGUCCAAAUGACUAAACUUCCAUUAUAGCUCCAGAAGCAUACAUAAUCUUUACUACACAAAAGGGCAUACCAUUAAAGUCCUCUGCCGCUAGGGAAUUGAUUAGUGUGCCACCCAUCCCACCUCCAAUGUGACUUUCUUCAGACGGUCAUGAGAACGCGUCCACGUCAGGACUCCCGAACUCCAAUCUGAGUCUUGUAAUACUCUUACCAAUUAGCAUAUGGAGUCCUCCCUCUUGGUUACAAUUUUGAAAUUGCUGGCUAGACUCCUACGGCCACACAUAAAUUGGCUUAGUUCUGGAGGCUAUUUCACAUGUGGGGUUGGCUUUUAUUUGUUUGGAUUAAACCAUUAGAUUUUU